rnacentral:rRNA from 1 species
UACGUAGGGGGCUAGCGUUGUCCGGAAUUACUGGGCGUAAAGCGCACGUAGGCGGCUUUGUAAGUUAGAGGUGAAAGCCCGGGGCUCAACUCCGGAAUUGCCUUUAAGACUGCAUCGCUAGAAUUGUGGAGAGGUAAGUGGAAUUCCGAGUGUAGAGGUGAAAUUCGUAGAUAUUCGGAAGAACACCAGUGGCGAAGGCGACUUACUGGACACAUAUUGACGCUGAGGUGCGAAAGCGUGGGGAGCAAACAGG